AACCUCCGCAAUGUGAGAAAUCGCGACGGGGGGAUCCCAAGUGCCAUUCUUAACGGGGUGGCUUUUCAUUAGUGUAAAGAGCUUUUGGAAUAAGAGCUGGGCAAGACCGGUGCCAGCCGCCGCGGUAACACCGGCAGCUCUAGUGGUAACAAUUUUUAUUGGGCCUAGGGCGUCCGUAGCCGGUUUAAUAAGUCUCUGGUGAAAUCCUGUAGCUUAACUGUGGGAAUUGCUGGAGAUACUAUUAGGACUUGAGACCGGGAGAGGUUAGAGGUACUCCCAGGGUAGAGGUGAAAUUCUGUAAUCCUGGGAGGACCGCCUGUUGCGAAGGCGUCUAACUGGAACGGUUCUGACGGUGAGGGACGAAAGUUAGGGGCGCGAACCGGAUUAGAUACCCGGGUAGUCCUAACUGUAAACGAUGCGGACUUGGUGUUGGGGUGGCUUUGAGCUGCUCCAGUGCCGAAGGGAAGCUGUUAAGUCCGCCGCCUGGGAAGUACGGUCGCAGACUGAAACUUAAAGGAAGU
rnacentral:rRNA from 1 species